UGCCAGCAGCCGCGGUAAUACGGAGGCGGGUAGCGUUCUUCGGAAUUACUGGGCGUAAAGCGUACGUAGGCGGAUUAAUAAGUUAGAGGUGAAAUCCCAGGGCUCAACCUUGGAACUGCCAUCAAAACUUUUUAGCUAGAGUGUGAUAGAGGUAAGUGGAAUUUCUAGUGUAGAGGUGAAAUUCGUAGAUAUUAGAAAGAACACCAAAUGCGAAGGCAACUUACUGGGUCACUACUGACACUGAGGAGCGAAAGCCUGGGUAGCGAAGAGGAUUAGAUA
rnacentral:rRNA from 1 species